rnacentral:rRNA from 1 species
CGUGUAGGCGGGUGGGAGCGUCGGCCACUGAAAGCCCCCGGCUCAACCGGGGAAGGGGUGCCGAGACGUCCCGCCUGGAGGGGCGUAGGGGGACCCGGAACUUCCGGUGGAGCGGUGAAAUGCGUUGAGAUCGGAAGGAACGCCCGUGGCGAAAGCGGGGUCCUGGACGCCAACUGACGCUGAGACGCGAAAGCCAGGGGAGCGAACGGGAUUAGAUACCCCGGUAGUCCUGGCCGUAAACGAUGGGCACUGGGUAGGGGGCUCGCCGAUGGGCCCCCUGCCGCAGCGAAAGCGUGAAGUGCCCCGCCUGGGGAGUAUGGUCGCAAGGCUGAA